rnacentral:rRNA from 1 species
GACAGAGGUGCCAAGCGUUAGGCGGAAUUACUGGGCGUAAAGCGUGCGUAGACGGUCAUGUAAGUCGGAUGUGAAAGCCCCGGGCUCAACCUGGGAAUUGCAUUCGAGACUGCAUGGCUUGGGUGCGGAAGAGGGAAGCGGAAUUUCCGGUGUAGCGGUGAAAUGCGUAGAUAUCGGAAGGAACACCAGUGGCGAAAGCGGCUUCCUGGUCCGACACCGACGUUCAGGCACGAAAGCGUGGGGAGCAAACAGG